rnacentral:rRNA from 2 species
UUGAGUGAGUGGCGAACUGGUGAGUAACACGUGGGAAACCUGCCCAGAAGCGGGGGAUAACACCUGGAAACAGAUGCUAAUACCGCAUAACAACUUGGACCGCAUGGUCCGAGUUUGAAAGAUGGCUUCGGCUAUCACUUUUGGAUGGUCCCGCGGCGUAUUAGCUAGAUGGUGGGGUAACGGCUCACCAUGGCAAUGAUACGUAGCCGACCUGAGAGGGUAAUCGGCCACAUUGGGACUGAGACACGGCCCAAACUCCUACGGGAGGCAGCAGUAGGGAAUCUUCCACAAUGGACGAAAGUCUGAUGGAGCAACGCCGCGUGAGUGAAGAAGGGUUUCGGCUCGUAAAACUCUGUUGUUAAAGAAGAACAUAUCUGAGAGUAACUGUUCAGGUAUUGACGGUAUUUAACCAGAAAGCCACGGCUAACUACGUGCCAGCAGCCGCGGUAAUACGUAGGUGGCAAGCGUUGUCCGGAUUUAUUGGGCGUAAAGCGAGCGCAGGCGGUUUUUUAAGUCUGAUGUGAAAGCCUUCGGCUCAACCGAAGAAGUGCAUCGGAAACUGGGAAACUUGAGUGCAGAAGAGGACAGUGGAACUCCAUGUGUAGCGGUGAAAUGCGUAGAUAUAUGGAAGAACACCAGUGGCGAAGGCGGCUGUCUGGUCUGUAACUGACGCUGAGGCUCGAAAGUAUGGGUAGCAAACAGGAUUAGAUACCCUGGUAGUCCAUACCGUAAACGAUGAAUGCUAAGUGUUGGAGGGUUUCCGCCCUUCAGUGCUGCAGCUAACGCAUUAAGCAUUCCGCCUGGGGAGUACGGCCGCAAGGCUGAAACUCAAAGGAAUUGACGGGGGCCCGCACAAGCGGUGGAGCAUGUGGUUUAAUUCGAAGCUACGCGAAGAACCUUACCAGGUCUUGACAUACUAUGCAAAUCUAAGAGAUUAGACGUUCCCUUCGGGGACAUGGAUACAGGUGGUGCAUGGUUGUCGUCAGCUCGUGUCGUGAGAUGUUGGGUUAAGUCCCGCAACGAGCGCAACCCUUAUUAUCAGUUGCCAGCAUUAAGUUGGGCACUCUGGUGAGACUGCCGGUGACAAACCGGAGGAAGGUGGGGAUGACGUCAAAUCAUCAUGCCCCUUAUGACCUGGGCUACACACGUGCUACAAUGGAUGGUACAACGAGUUGCGAACUCGCGAGAGUAAGCUAAUCUCUUAAAGCCAUUCUCAGUUCGGAUUGUAGGCUGCAACUCGCCUACAUGAAGUCGGAAUCGCUAGUAAUCGCGGAUCAGCAUGCCGCGGUGAAUACGUUCCCGGGCCUUGUACACACCGCCCGUCACACCAUGAGAGUUUGUAACACCCAAAGUCGGUGGGGUAACCUUUUAGA